CAGUAGCCGCGGUAAUACGAAGGGUGCAAGCGUUAAUCGGAAUUACUGGGCGUAAAGCGUGCGCAGGCGGUUAUAUAAGACAGAUGUGAAAUCCCCGGGCUCAACAUGGGAACUGCAUUUGUGACUGUAUAGCUAGAGUACGGCAGAGGGGGAUGGAAUUCCGCGUGUAGCAGUGAAAUGCGUAGAUAUGCGGAGGAACACCGAUGGCGAAGGCAAUCCCCUGGGCCUGUACUGACGCUCAUGCACGAAAGCGUGGGGAGCAAACAGGAUUAGAGACCCGCGUAGUCCCUGUCUCUUAUAC
rnacentral:rRNA from 1 species